rnacentral:rRNA from 1 species
AACGAACGCUGGCGGCGCGCCUAAUACAUGCAAGUCGAGCGAGAAGACGUAGCAAUACGUUUGUAAAGCGGCGAACGGGUGAGGAAUACAUGGGUAACCUACCCUCGAGUGGGGAAUAGCUAGCCGAAAGGUUAGCUAAUACCGCGUACGCUCCUUGGACUUCGGUUCAGGGAGGAAAGCGAUACCGUGGGUAUCGCGCUCUUGGAUGGGCUCAUGUCCUAUCAGCUUGUUGGGAGGUAACGGCUCACCAAGGCUUCGACGGGUAGCUGGUCUGAGAGGACGAUCAGCCACACUGGCACUGCGACACGGGCCAGACUCCUACGGGAGCAGCAGUAAGGAAUAUUGCGCAAAUGGGCAAAAGCCUGACGCAGCGACGCCGCGUGGGGGAUGAAGGUCUUCGGAUUGUAAA